rnacentral:rRNA from 1 species
AUUGAACGCUGGCGGCAUGCUUUACACAUGCAAGUCGAACGGCAGCGCGGGCUUCGGCCUGGCGGCGAGUGGCGAACGGGUGAGUAAUACAUCGGAACGUGCCCAGUAGUGGGGGAUAGCUCGGCGAAAGCCGGAUUAAUACCGCAUACGACCUGAGGGUGAAAGCGGGGGAUCUUCGGACCUCGCGCUAUUGGAGCGGCCGAUGGCAGAUUAGCUAGUUGGUGGGGUAAAGGCCUACCAAGGCGACGAUCUGUAGCUGGUCUGAGAGGACGACCAGCCACACUGGGACUGAGACACGGCCCAGACUCCUACGGGAGGCAGCAGUGGGGAAUUUUGGACAAUGGGCGAAAGCCUGAUCCAGCAAUGCCGCGUAUGUGAUGAAGGCCUUCGGGUUGUAAAGCACUUUUGGCGGGAACGAAAAGGACUGUGCCAAUACCACGGUUCGAUGACGGUACCCGCAGAAUAAGCACCGGCUAACUACGUG